GACGAACGCUGGCGGCGUGCCUAACACAUGCAAGUCGAACGGGGUAACUCCUUCGGGGGGUUACUUAGUGGCGAACGGGUGAGUAACGCGUGAAGAACCUGCCUUUCAGUGGGGGACAACAGUUGGAAACGACUGCUAAUACCGCAUGACACUUCUUGGGGGGCAUCCCUGAGAAGUCAAAGCUUUAUGUGCUGAAAGAUGGCUUAAAAACGCGUCUGAUUAGCUAGUUGGCGGGGUAACGGCCCACCAAGGCGACGAUCAGUAGCCGGUCUGAGAGGAUGAACGGCCACAUUGGGACUGAGAUACGGCCCAGACUCCUACGGGAGGCAGCAGUGGGGAAUAUUGCACAAUGGGGGAAACCCUGAUGCAGCGACGCCGCGUGAGCGAAGAAGUAUUUCGGUAUGUAAAGCUCUAUCAGCAGGGAAGAAGAAUGACGGUACCUGACUAAGAAGCACCGGCUAAAUACGUG
rnacentral:rRNA from 1 species